rnacentral:siRNA from 1 species
UCCGUUUACUACGGUACCAUA